rnacentral:rRNA from 1 species
AAUCAACGCUGGCGGCGUGCCUCAGACAUGCAAGUCGAACGAUUAAAGCUCUCUUCGGAGAGUGUAUAAAGUGGCGCACGGGUGAGUAACACGUAAGUAAUCUACCUUCGAGUGGGGAAUAACGUCCGGAAACGGACGCUAAUACCGCAUAAUGCAGCGGCAUCGCAAGAUGACAGUUGUUAAAGAUUUAUCGCUUGAAGAGGAGCUUGCGGCAGAUAGCUAGUUGGUAAGGUAAUGGCUUACCAAGGCUACGAUCUGUAACCGGUCUAAGAGGACGGUCGGUCACACUGACACUGAAUAACGGGUCAGACUCCUACGGGAGGCAGCAGUCGGGAAUUUUGGGCAAUGGGCGAAAGCCUGACCCAGCAACGCCGCGUGAAGGAUGAAG